GUGAACACGGAGCUUGCUCUGUGGGAUCAGUGGCGAACGGGUGAGUAACACGUGAGCAACCUGCCCCUGACUCUGGGAUAAGCGCUGGAAACGGCGUCUAAUACUGGAUAUGUGACGUGACCGCAUGGUCUGCGUCUGGAAAGAAUUUCGGUUGGGGAUGGGCUCGCGGCCUAUCAGCUUGUUGGUGAGGUAAUGGCUCACCAAGGCGUCGACGGGUAGCCGGCCUGAGAGGGUGACCGGCCACACUGGGACUGAGACACGGCCCAGACUCCUACGGGAGGCAGCAGUGGGGAAUAUUGCACAAUGGGCGCAAGCCUGAUGCAGCAACGCCGCGUGAGGGACGACGGCCUUCGGGUUGUAAACCUCUUUUAGCAGGGAAGAAGCGAAAGUGACGGUACCUGCAGAAAAAGCGCCGGCUAACUACGUGCCAGCAGCCGCGGUAAUACGUAGGGCGCAAGCGUUAUCCGGAAUUAUUGGGCGUAAAGAGCUCGUAGGCGGUUUGUCGCGUCUGCUGUGAAAUCCGGAGGCUCAACCUCCGGCCUGCAGUGGGUACGGGCAGACUAGAGUGCGGUAGGGGAGAUUGGAAUUCCUGGUGUAGCGGUGGAAUGCGCAGAUAUCAGGAGGAACACCGAUGGCGAAGGCAGAUCUCUGGGCCGUAACUGACGCUGAGGAGCGAAAGGGUGGGGAGCAAACAGGCUUAGAUACCCUGGUAGUCCACCCCGUAAACGUUGGGAACUAGUUGUGGGGUCCAUUCCACGGAUUCCGUGACGCAGCUAACGCAUUAAGUUCCCCGCCUGGGGAGUACGGCCGCAAGGCUAAAACUCAAAGGAAUUGACGGGGACCCGCACAAGCGGCGGAGCAUGCGGAUUAAUUCGAUGCAACGCGAAGAACCUUACCAAGGCUUGACAUAUACGAGAACGGGCCAGAAAUGGUCAACUCUUUGGACACUCGUAAACAGGUGGUGCAUGGUUGUCGUCAGCUCGUGUCGUGAGAUGUUGGGUUAAGUCCCGCAACGAGCGCAACCCUCGUUCUAUGUUGCCAGCACGUAAUGGUGGGAACUCAUGGGAUACUGCCGGGGUCAACUCGGAGGAAGGGGGGGGAUGACGUCAAAUCAUCAUGCCCCUUAUGUCUUGGGCUUCACGCAUGCUACAAUGGCCGGUACAAAGGGCUGCAAUACCGCGGAGGUGGAGNGAAUCCCAAAAAGCCGGUCCCAGUUCGGAUUGAGGUCUGCAACUCGACCUCAUGAAGUCG
rnacentral:rRNA from 1 species